GAAAUGCGAUAAGUAAUGUGAAUUGCAGAAUUCAGUGAAUCAUCGAAUCUUUGAACGCACCUUGCGCUCCUUGGUAUUCCUUGGAGCAUGCCUGUUUGAGUAUCAUGAAAUCUUCAAAGUAAAUCUUUUGUUAACUCAAUUGGUUUCUACUUUGGUAUUGGAGGUCUUUGCAGCUUCACACCUGCUCCUCUUUGUUCAUUAGCUGGAUCUCAGUGUUAUGCUUGGUUCCACUCGGCGUGAUAAGUUAUCUAUCGCUGAGGACACUGUAAAAGGUGGCCAAGGUAAAUGCAGAUGAACCGCUUCUAAUAGUCCAUUGACUUGGACAAUACUUUUAUGAUCUGAUCUCAAAUCAGUUAGGACUACCCGCUGAACUUACGC
rnacentral:misc_RNA from 1 species